rnacentral:rRNA from 1 species
GACGAACGCUGGCGGCGUGCUUAACACAUGCAAGUCGAACGAAGAGCGAUGGAAGCUUGCUUCUAUCAAUCUUAGUGGCGAACGGGUGAGUAACGCGUAAUCAACCUGCCCUUCAGAGGGGGACAACAGUUGGAAACGACUGCUAAUACCGCAUACGAUCUAAUCUCGGCAUCGAGGAUAGAUGAAAGGUGGCCUCUACAUGUAAGCUAUCACUGAAGGAGGGGAUUGCGUCUGAUUAGCUAGGUGGGGGGGUAACGGCCCACCAAGGCGAUGAUCAGUAGCCGGUCGGAGAGGAUGGACGGCCACAUUGGGACUGAGACACGGCCCAGACUCCUACGGGAGGCAGCAGGGGGGAAACUUCCGCAAUGGACGAAAGUCUGACGGAGCAACGCCGCGUGAGCGAUGACGGCCUUCGGGUUGUAAAGCUCUGUUAAUCGGGACGAAAGGCCUUCUUGCGAAUAGUGAGAAGGAUUGACGGUACCGGAAUAGAAAGCCACGGCUAACUACGUG